rnacentral:rRNA from 1 species
GUGAAAAGUACCCGGAAUAAGGGAGUGAAAUAGAUCCUGAAACCGUUUGCUUACAAGCGGUCGGAGCAUCUUUAAGAUGUGACGGCGUGCCUUUUGCAUAAUGAUCCUACGAGUUACUCGUCACUGGCAAGGUUAAGGACUUCAGGUCCGCAGCCGAAGCGAAAGCAAGUCUGAAUAGGGCGUAUAGUCAGUGGCGGUAGACGCGAAACCGAGUGAUCUACCCAUGGGCAGGUUGAAGCUCUGGUAACACAGAGUGGAGGACCGAACCGGUUGAUGUUGAAAAAUCUUCGGAUGACCUGUGGGUAGGGGUGAAAGGCCAAUCAAACUCGGAAAUAGCUCGUUCUCCCCGAAAUGCUUUUAGGAGCAGCGUUAUGUUAUAGAGUAGUAGAGGUAGAGCUACUGGUUGGAUGCGGGGGCUUCAUCGCCUACCAAAUCCUGUCAAACUCCGAAUGCUACUACUUGUUUCAUAGCAGUGAGGGCAUGGGUGCUAAGGUCCAUGUCCGAGAGGGAAAGAACCCAGACCAUCAGCUAAGGUCCCUAAAUAUAUGUUAAGUUGAAUAAACGAGGUGAAACUGCUUAGACAGCUAGGAUGUUGGCUUGGAAGCAGCCAUUCAUUUAAAGAGUGCGUAACAGCUCACUAGUCGAGCGGUUUUGCAUGGAUAAUAAUCGGGCAUAAA